rnacentral:rRNA from 1 species
AUGAUACGUAAUGCCCAAAAGGAAAAGCUCUUAACUGGACUUGCCCCUGACCUGAUUGAAAGGGGAGUAGCUAUCCUUCAGUAUGUAGAUGACACGGUCAUUUGUUUUGAACAUGAUAAGAAUGCUGCUGUAAACCUGAAACUUCUUUUAUACAUGUUCGAACUUAUGUCUAGGUUAAAGAUCAACUUCCUUAAAAGUGAGGUGCUUUGUGUAGGGGAUGAGGACACACUGGCGUUUUAUGUGGAUCUGUUCAACUGUAAAAUUGGGCAUUUUCCUAUGAAAUAUCUGGGAGUGCCAGUUAGCUUCUCUACACUGCGUGUCCUUGAAUGGGAUUUCAUGGACGAACGAUUCCUAAAAUGCUUUGAGGCCUGGAUUGGGAAUGUAGCUUCCUCGGGAGGGAGGCUUAUUCUGCUUCUCCUCGCUCAUGAGCAUUGUAUACUACUAUAUGGCUAUGUUUCUUCUUCCGAAGACGGUGAUAGUAAAACUAGACAAACACCGUAA